CGCUCUUCCGUCUGGCGCUGGCGGUGCGUUAAUGGUAUGUGAUGUAAAAGGAUAUAUUAGUCAUGUGUGUUCUGAUGAUGUCCAAAGAUGAAUUACUUCUUGAAAAAUCAUGAACGAAGGUCUUACGGGUGUGGAACGACAUGAGGCUUCAGCAAUGCUAAAACCACCAGGAACAACAACUCUUUGCCAUCUUGUCCUAUCUUCUCCUAACACAAAAGAAACAACAUACAAAGCUUGCAAGUGCACUGAAGCAGUAUCUGCUCAAGAACAUUCAAAGCUGCUCUGUAUGACAAUAACCUGGGCCAGUCUGGCAACUUCCUAAAGCCAAAAAGAUGAAACAAAGUUCCCAAGGCCUAUUUUGAGGUGGUUAUGCUGGAACUGUAUCCAGGAAAGAAAUAUUUCUAUGUUGUUGCUAGAUUGUCAAAGAAAAGGAAUCCCAGGUGGGAUACAACAUUGCAGGAUGGCUACACAAAAACAAAGAUCCACUGAAUGAAACAGUGGUGGGCCUGUUGCAGUCCUCCAUGCCUCUUUUGGCUCAGCUCUUCAAAGCAGAGGAAGCUGCACCAGGAGCAAAAAAAAGGGCCUCUUCCUUCCAGACUGUUUCAGCUUUCUAUAUAGUCACCUGAACAAAAUACACUUGAAGAAGCUGGGGAGCGCUGAUGAACCAGCCAAAGAAGCAGAAUAUCAGCUUGAAAGAACAGAUAUGAAAGAGCCGUCAGAGUAGGAGAAGAGCGCUGCCAAUGCUUUAAGUGCUAAAACGAGCAAACUUAUGGACCUGAGAAGGGACUUGGAAGGCUAGGAGUCGGCUCUGGCAAAGCUAGAGAAGGAAAAACAGGUGAAAGCAAUCAAGGAUUUCACUAAAAUAUGGCUGUAAAUUCCCCACACAUCUGUUAUCAUGUGUGAAAUCAAGCAAACACAUGUUACUGAUUGACAAAUUAAAAUAAAGUAACAUAAUGAUCUGAAAUUAUUCAGUUUAUUGGCUCCAAAAUAUCUGCUGUGGCUCUUUAGGGCAUUGCCAAGGCCCAGAAGGAAAAGAAAGAUCUAGAGAAGCUUCAGCAGGUAAAGUAAGCCAGCCAUUACUGGUCAAUAAUUGAUGCUGUUGUCACUAGAAAAAGAAAAUCCAACGAUAACAACCAAGAAGAACAAGAAGCACAGACUUGAAGAUCUCAACAUUAUCUGUAGAAGUUAAUGGCUGUGCAUUUUGAGGGGGAGGUAUAUUUACAUUAUGAAAGUGAUUGAAAUGUUUAUAGAUGUCAGUCCCAUGCAGCUGUGCCAGUUCCUAAAAAGAAGCAGUUACAGAAAAAGCUCUCAGAAAGAAUGCUGUUUCUAGAUGACACAGAUAAACAAUCCCAGGACUGCUUAUGAGGAGUUUCCUCGGAAACGGUUAGGAGAGAUAAAAAGGUCAUUUCUGGUAUUGCAGGCUCUCAGAGAAUUUAGAAACUCCUUAUACAAACAUUAUAUAGUAUGAGUGACAACUGAACUAAAUGUCAAUAUGAGAAACUCAUUUUAUCAUUUUAUUUCUCAUUUUAUCUGCUUUUUCAUCUGUAAAGGAAACAACAUCAAAGUACACUUGAGUUCCUCUAAACUUGUCUGGAGAAAGAGGUCAGAGGUCACGCUGAAACUUUGAGGACCAAGAACAAAAUGGAGUCAGACUUGAAUGAAAUGGAGAUCCAGCUGGACAAUGGCUUUAAGAACAACAAUGAGCAGGAAGAUCUUCAAGAGACUGUAAAAGCAGAACUUUGUACCCACUUGUGUAUGAAAUUGUGUUUUGAAAUAGAAAUCUUUUGUAACAAUGUAAGUCUUUACUUUUGAUCAAUUAAAUGCAUCUCUGCUUAAUAUAAGUAUUAAUUUCUUAAAAAAAUUAAAAUGAAGUUCUUUGAACUUCAAUUUAUAUGCAUUUGUACUCUAAAAAUGCUGGGUUAAAACAACCCAAGUUGAGUUAAAAAUGGACAAACCCAGUGAUUGGGUUGUUUUAACCCAACCUGCUGGGUAUUUUU